rnacentral:ncRNA from 1 species
AUGGCGAGUAGAAGCGGUCAGGGCCCUUUGCCUGGGACAUUGCUCGAGUG